GGAAUAUUGCACAAUGGGGGAAACCCUGAUGCAGCGACGCCGCGUGAGUGAAGAAGUAUUUCGGUAUGUAAAGCUCUACCGGCAGGGAAGAAAAUGACGGUACCUGAUUAAGAAGCCCCGGCUAACUACGUGCCAGCAGCCGCGGUAAUACGUAGGGGGCAAGCGUUAUCCGGAUUUACUGGGUGUAAAGGGAGCGUAGACGGUGAUGCAAGUCAGAAGUGAAAGCCCGGGGCUCAACUCCGGGACUGCUUUUGAAACUGUAUGACUGGAGUGCAGGAGAGGUAAGCGGAAUUCCUGGUGUAGCGGUGAAAUGCGUAGAUAUCAGGAGGAACACCAGUGGCGAAGGCGGCUUACAGGACUGUAACUGACGUUGAGGCUCGAAAGCGUGGGGAGCAAACA
rnacentral:rRNA from 1 species